rnacentral:rRNA from 1 species
GACGAACGCUGGCGGCGUGCUUAACACAUGCAAGUCGAACGGAAAGGCCCUGCUUUUGUGGGGUGCUCGAGUGGCGAACGGGUGAGUAACACGUGAGUAACCUGCCCUUGACUUUGGGAUAACUUCAGGAAACUGGGGCUAAUACCGGAUAGGAGCUCCUGCUGCAUGGUGGGGGUUGGAAAGUUUCGGCGGUUGGGGAUGGACUCGCGGCUUAUCAGCUUGUUGGUGGGGUAGUGGCUUACCAAGGCUUUGACGGGUAGCCGGCCUGAGAGGGUGACCGGCCACAUGGGGACUGAGAUACGGACCAGACUCCUACGGGAGGCAGCAGUGGGGAAUAUUGCACAAUGGGCGGAAGCCUGAUGCAGCAACGCCGCGUGCGGGAUGACGGCCUUCGGGUUGUAAACCGCUUUCACCUGUGACGAAGCGUGAGUGACGGUAAUGGGUAAAGAAGCACCGGCUAACUACGUG